UACAUGUCAACAGAACAAGAGUUCACUAGAUGCAGUAAUGGAUUUUGCUUCUACGGAUACAAUUACGCGAACUCAUAUUCCUCCGAAUAUUAAUUCACAGAAGAAGAUAAUAUCGAAAAGAAAACUGAGUACUCAUAGUAAUAAAAACGAUGGAAUUGCUUCAGAUGAUCAUUUCAAGCUUAAAAAAAUUAUACAUCGAGAUAUUGAACGUCAAAGAAGACAAGA
rnacentral:misc_RNA from 1 species